GACGAACGCUGGCGGCGUGCCUAAUACAUGCAAGUCGAGCGAAUUUGAGGGAGCUUGCUCCCAAAGAUUAGCGGCGGACGGGUGAGUAACACGUGGGUAACCUGCCUGUAAGAUUGGGAUAACUCCGGGAAACCGGAGCUAAUACCGGAUAACAUUUCGAACCGCAUGGUUCGAAAUUGAAAGAUGGUUUCGGCUAUCACUUACAGAUGGACCCGCGGCGCAUUAGCUAGUUGGUGAGGUAACGGCUCACCAAGGCAACGAUGCGUAGCCGACCUGAGAGGGUGAUCGGCCACACUGGGACUGAGACACGGCCCAGACUCCUACGGGAGGCAGCAGUAGGGAAUCUUCCGCAAUGGACGAAAGUCUGACGGAGCAACGCCGCGUGAACGAUGAAGGCCUUCGGGUCGUAAAGUUCUGUUGUUAGGGAAGAACAAGUACCAGAGUAACUGCUGGUACCUUGACGGUACCUAACCAGAAAGCCACGGCUAACUACGUGCCAGCAGCCGCGGUAAUACGUAGGUGGCAAGUGUUGUCCGGAAUUAUUGGGCGUAAAGCGCGCGCAGGCGGUUUCUUAAGUCUGAUGUGAAAGCCCACGGCUCAACCGUGGAGGGUCAUUGGAAACUGGGGAACUUGAGUGCAGAAGAGGAGAGUGGAAUUCCACGUGUAGCGGUGAAAUGCGUAGAGAUGUGGAGGAACACCAGUGGCGAAGGCGACUCUCUGGUCUGUAACUGACGCUGAGGCGCGAAAGCGUGGGGAGCGAACAGGAUUAGAUACCCUGGUAGUCCACGCCGUAAACGAUGAGUGCUAAGUGUUAGAGGGUUUCCGCCCUUUAGUGCUGCAGCAAACGCAUUAAGCACUCCGCCUGGGGAGUACGGUCGCAAGACUGAAACUCAAAGGAAUUGACGGGGGCCCGCACAAGCGGUGGAGCAUGUGGUUUAAUUCGAAGCAACGCGAAGAACCUUACCAGGUCUUGACAUCCUUCGCUACUUCUAGAGAUAGAAGGUUCCCCAUCGGGGGACGAAGUGACAGGUGGUGCAUGGUUGUCGUCAGCUCGUGUCGUGAGAUGUUGGGUUAAGUCCCGCAACGAGCGCAACCCUUGAUCUUAGUUGCCAGCAUUCAGUUGGGCACUCUAAGGUGACUGCCGGUGACAAACCGGAGGAAGGUGGGGAUGACGUCAAAUCAUCAUGCCCCUUAUGACCUGGGCUACACACGUGCUACAAUGGAUGGUACAAAGGGCUGCAAGACUGCGAAGUCAAGCGAAUCCCAUAAAACCAUUCUCAGUUCGGAUUGCAGGCUGCAACUCGCCUGCAUGAAGCCGGAAUCGCUAGUAAUCGCGGAUCAGCAUGCCGCGGUGAAUACGUUCCCGGGCCUUGUACACACCGCCCGUCACACCACGAGAGUUUGUAACACCCGAAGUCGGUGGGGUAACCGUAAGGAGCCAGCCGCCUAAGGUGGGACAGAUGAUUGGGGUGAAGUCGUAACAAGGUAGCCGUAUCGGAAGGUGCGGCUGGAUCACCUCCUUUCUAAGGAUAUGAGGUACGCUUGGUAUUUUGUUUAGUUUUGAGAGAUCAUUGUAUUUCUCAAUAUAUGUUCCUUGAAAACUAGAUAACGAAAACAAUUCAAGUAAUUCACUGAGUUUAAACGCUUAGUUUAGUGAUUCUCUUAAUAAUGUAAGUGACAUCUUUGAUGUCAAAGGUUAAGUUGUUAAGGGCGCACGGUGGAUGCCUUGGCACUAGGAGCCGAUGAAGGACGGUACUAACACCGAUAUGCUUCGGGGAGCUGUAAGUAAGCUUUGAUCCGGAGAUUUCCGAAUGGGGAAACCCACUGCUCGUAAUGGAGUAGUAUUUUUACCUGAAUACAUAGGGUAAUAAAGGCAGACCCGGGGAACUGAAACAUCUAAGUACCCGGAGGAAGAGAAAGCAAACGCGAUUUCCUGAGUAGCGGCGAGCGAAACGGAAUUAGCCCAAACCAAGAGGCUUGCCUCUUGGGGUUGUAGGACACUCUAUACGGAGUUACAAAGGAACGGAGUAAAUGAAGAGGUCUGGAAAGGCCCGUCAAAGAAGGUAACAACCCUGUAGUUGAAACUUCGUUCCCUCCAGAGUGGAUCCUGAGUACGGCGGGACACGUGAAAUCCCGUCGGAAGCAGGGAGGACCAUCUCCCAAGGCUAAAUACUCCCUAGUGACCGAUAGUGAACC
rnacentral:rRNA from 1 species